rnacentral:misc_RNA from 1 species
UUUUUUUUUUUUUUUUGUGUAUUUGUGAUUGCUUGGCCUUCGGCAACAUCAAAGCAAUAGAGCUGUGUAUGGAUGGCUUACGGCGGAGCUUGGGAGGACGGCUUCCUUUCUUCUGUUAGGCAGUCUAGUGUUUGUUUAAUUUUUGGGUCUUAGACUUUUGGGCUUCCAUUGGUAGACUAAGUUUAUUGUUGCCUUUUGAUUUUUGUUGUUUAGGCCCAAGAACCCCUUUUUUAGUCAGUUAGCUCCU